GAUGAACGCUAGCGGCAGGCUUAACACAUGCAAGUCGAGGGGUAACAGGGAAGAGCUUGCUUUUCUGCUGACGACCGGCGCACGGGUGCGUAACGCGUAUAGAACCUACCUUUUACAGGGGAAUAGCCCAGAGAAAUUUGGAUUAAUGCCCCAUAGUAUUAUUGAAUGGCAUCAUUUAAUAAUUAAACAUUUAUGGGUAAAAGAUGGCUAUGCGUUCUAUUAGCUAGAUGGUAAGGUAACGGCUUACCAUGGCAACGAUAGAUAGGGGUCCUGAGAGGGAGAUCCCCCACACUGGUACUGAGACACGGACCAGACUCCUACGGGAGGCAGCAGUGAGGAAUAUUGGACAAUGGAGGCAACUCUGAUCCAGCCAUGCCGCGUGCAGGAAGACGGUCCUAUGGAUUGUAAACUGCUUUUAUAUAGGAAGAAACCUUUCCACGUGUGGAAAGCUGACGGUACUAUAAGAAUAAGCACCGGCUAACUCCGUGCCAGCAGCCGCGGUAAUACGGAGGGUGCAAGCGUUAUCCGGAAUCAUUGGGUUUAAAGGGUCCGUAGGCGGACUAAUAAGUCAGGGGUGAAAUCCAACAGCUUAACUGUUGAACUGCCUUUGAUACUGUUAGUCUUGAGUUAUAUGGAAGUAGAUAGAAUAUGUAGUGUAGCGGUGAAAUGCUUAGAGAUUACAUAGAAUACCGAUUGCGAAGGCAGUCUACUACGUAUAUAC
rnacentral:rRNA from 1 species